CCCGUUACGGAUGCGACGGACCUGACUGCUGCGCUGCCGAGAGUGCGCGCGGAAGGACGUGCAGG
rnacentral:tRNA from 1 species